rnacentral:rRNA from 1 species
GGUCCGGCUAAUUACGUGCCAGCAGCCGCGGUAAUACGUAAGGACCGAGCGUUGUCCGGAAUUAUUGGGCGUAAAGGGUACGUAGGCGGCUUUUUAAGUUUGACGUGAAAGCCCGGGGCUUAACUCCGGCGAGCGUUGAAAACUGGAAGGCUUGAGUGAUGGAAGGGACAGUGGAAUUCCUGGUGUAGCGGUGAAAUGCGCAGAUAUUAGGAAGAAUACCAGUGGCGAAAGCGACUUACUGGCAAUUAACUGACGCUGAGGUACGAAAGCGUGGGUAGCAAACAGGAUUAGAUACCCUGGUAGUCCACGCUGUAAACGAUGAGUGUUAGGUGUCUGGGAGAACCUGGGUGCCACAGCAAACGCAAUAAACACUCCGCCUGGGGAGUACGCACGCA